rnacentral:tRNA from 1 species
CACGAUGUGGUGAAACUGGUAGACACGCGAUGCUCAGAACGUCGUGCCAUCAAGGCGUAGGAGUUCGACUCUCCUCUUCGUGAC